rnacentral:rRNA from 1 species
GUGAACGCUGGCGGCAUGUUUAAGGCAUGCAAGUUGAAUGCUCCGCAAGGGGCAUGGCAGACGGGAGAGUAACACGUUGGUAAUCUACCUUUAUCUCGGGCAUAACCCUUCGAAAGGGGGGAUAAUACCUGAUAGUCAUGGGGGGUCAUAUGACAUUCCCAUGUAAAGAUUUAUCGGAUAAAGAGGAACCUACGGCCCAUCAGCUUGUUGGUAGGGUAAUGGCCUACCAAGGCUACGACGGGUAACGGGUGUGAGAGCAUGACCCGUCCCACUGGGACUGAGACACUGCCCAGACUCCUACGGGAGGCUGCAGUCGAGAAUCUUCCUCAAUGGGCGAAAGCCUGAAGGAGCAAUGCCGCGUGAUCGAUGAAGCUCUUCGGAGUGUAAAGGUCUUUUAUCAGGGACGAAUUAGUGACGGUACCUGAUGAAUAAGUCACUGCUAACUUCGU